CAUCACAGUCUACAACAAAAUUCAGAAUGUUUUCCAGAUCAAAAUCUACCUGACGGUGAGUCGCAUUGAGCCAGGGUGAUGAGAAGUUCACUCUGCAUCUUUCCCGACUCCACUUCCUGUUUUCCAGGGUCCUGCCUGCCCAUCUGAGGACAUGCCUGCUCAUCACCCACGUGCAUCCUGUCACAGUGGGACUGCGUGUGUUCCCUGCUCAUUGUCACUUCCACGGUUUUGCUGAGUCUAUGCGAUUCUUCCAGGCCACUCCAAGUUCCACCUCUUCCACGAAGCCCUCCUUGAUUGCUGGGCCCUGGUUGAACUUAUUAUUAGUAACACCCAGGUUACUUCUACUUAAUUCUUGCCUCCAGCCAAAGUGGACUUAGAACCUCCUUGCACGCCUGGUAAAGUCGUAUAAAGUCUGCUGGGUAUAAAGCAGAAGCAACACAGUGUCUGGUUUGAAGCUUAGCGCUUGGGUUCAGACGGUUGUGGGUUACAAUCCCUUCUACGUGUGUUGCCUGUGGAAACCCUUUGGUUCUCUGUGCCUGGAGCUCGCCUGUAAUGGGACAAAACCAUCUCACCUAGAUUGUUGUUCUGAGGAUUGAAUUAGGUGAUUCUGAGAGGAGUGUAUGAGUCUUCCCUGAUUAACAAUCCAUGAAAAGUGGGCGUCAUUGCUGAAGCUCACGGAAGAAAUAUGAAAUUUGAUGAUAUCCUGAUUCAUGGCAUUGGGUCACCACCUCAGCAGUUUUUAUGAAAGUAGCGUCUGACCUGGCAAAGGCUGUGUCAUCUUAUUAUCUCAGAAAGGCAAAUUUACGGGGUCAGAUGAUGGACGGCCAGGUUUCAGGCUUGUAGAUUUCUCAAUGGGGUGGAAGGAAGGAGAGAAAAAGAGAGACAGGAGAGAGUACACACUUAAUUCUACUUCUCCUAGGGUGAUGUUUCCUUCUUCCCCUUCCAGAGUUCUCAAAAAGGCAUUCUAGGAAGUCCUGUAAAAUACAUGCUCAUACAACAUCUCCUAAUUUCCACAAAUUGUUGAGGAUUUAAAAACUCAGUUGGGGGUUUGCUGUUCUAGCCUGAGACACCAGGGUCACGUUUCAGUGCUUGUGGUCUUGAGACAGUACCAGGCAUCUGGGAUGAAGUUGGGGAAGGAAGGUCUGGUGACCCUGCUGGCCUGCCUCUCUUGAAAGAUGCCUACUGGCUGCUGGCUCCAUCACUGGUGUGUCACAGGGCUUUAGGAUUUGGAAAAGCAGAGGAUGUAAAACAAGACAGAA
rnacentral:lncRNA from 1 species